rnacentral:rRNA from 1 species
AGCAGGGAAGAAGCGAAAGUGACGGUACCUGCAGAAAAAGCACCGCCUAACUACGUGCCAGCAGCCGCGGUAAUACGUAGGGUGCAAGCGUUGUCCGGAAUUAUUGGGCGUAAAGAGCUCGUAGGCGGUUUGUCGCGUCUGCUGUGAAAAACUAGAGGCUCAACCUCCAGCGUGCAGUGGGUACGGGCAGACUAGAGUGCGGUAGGGGAGAUUGGAAUUCCUGGUGUAGCGGUGGAAUGCGCAGAUAUCAGGAGGAACACCGAUGGCGAAGGCAGAUCUCUGGGCCGUAACUGACGCUGAGGAGCGAAAGGGUGGGGAGCAAACAGGCUUAGAUACCCUGGUAGUCCACCCCGUAAACGUUGGGAACUAGAUGUGGGGACCAUUCCACGGUCUCCGUGUCGCAGCUAACGCAUUAAGUUCCCCGCCUGGGGAGUACGGCCGCAAGGCUAAAACUCAAAGGAAUUGACGGGGGCCCGCACAAGCGGCGGAGCAUGCGGAUUAAUUUGAUGCAACGCGAAGAACCUUACCAAGGCUUGACAUAUACCGGAAACGGCGAGAGAUCGUCGCCCCGCAAGGUCGGUAUACAGGUGGUGCAUGGUUGUCGUCAGCUCGUGUCGUGAGAUGUUGGGUUAAGUCCCGCAACGAGCGCAACCCUCGUUCUAUGUUGCCAGCACGUAAUGGUGGGAACUCAUGGGAUACUGCCGGGGUCAACUCGGAGGAAGGUGGGGACGACGUCAAAUCAUCAUGCCCCUUAUGUCUUGGGCUUCACGCAUGCUACAAUGGCCAGUACAAAGGGGUGCAAUACCGUAAGGUGGAGCGAAUCCCAAAAAGCUGGUCCCAGUUCGGAUUGAGGUCUGCAACUCGACCUCAUGAAGUCGGAGUCGUUAGUAAUCGCAGAUCAGCAACGCUGCGGUGAAUACGUUCCCGGGCCUUGUACACACCGCCCGUCAAGUCAUGAAAGUCGGUAACACCCGACGCCGGUGGCCUAACCCUUUAUUGGGA